rnacentral:rRNA from 1 species
GACGAACGCUGGCGGCGUGCCUAAUACAUGCAAGUAGAACGCUGAAGGAGGAGCUUGCUUCUCUGGAUGAGUUGCGAACGGGUGAGUAACGCGUAGGUAACCUGCCUGGUAGCGGGGGAGAACUAUUGGAAACGAUAGCUAAUACCGCAUAAGAGUAGAUGUCGCAUGACAUUUGCUUAAAAGGUGCAAUUGCAUCACUACCAGAUGGACCUGCGUUGUAUUAGCUAGUUGGUGAGGUAACGGCUCACCAAGGCAACGAUACAUAGCCGACCGGAGAGGGGGAUUGGCCACACUGGGACUGAGACACGGCCCAGACUCCUACGGGAGGCAGCAGGAGGGGAUCUUCGGCAAUGGAGGGAAGUCUGACCGAGGCACGCCGCGUGAGGGAAGAAGGGUUUCGGAUCGUUAAGCUCCGUUGUUAGAGAAGGAAGAGGGUGAGAGUGGAAAGUUCACGCUGUGACGGUAGCUUAACAGAAAGCGACGGCUAACUACGUG